UUGACUGAAUCCCGUCUAUACUUAACUUUUUCAAUUAAAACUGCGUCUAAAACUAUUGCUAUGUUUAUAGUCAUAUCACAGCAAAUGACGAUAGUGUCAGUAAAACAUUGGUGCGUAUCCGGUAGGUAUUAAAUUUUCGUUUAACUGCACCUACCUGGUCUACAGAUUAAAGGCCGGUGUAGUGCGUGAACUUUGGGUCACAUCAAAGAAGAACGGUACGGUUUAUCAAGAAUUUAAACGCUGUGAGUGAUUUGCAUAAGUUACGUUAUUACAACUGUUUGAACAACUACUGACACAUGAAGCAAACGUACGUGGGUAACUCAAAUAUUUACUUCCUAGACCCAAACAGGUAGCGUUUAAAAAACAUUCAAUAUUACUGACUAAGUUAGACACAUCAAAUAAAUAGUUCAACCGAAACAUUUAAUUAAGACCAGCAUCAAUCGAUUUAGAAGUGAAAUUAAUGGACUGCAUUAAAUCCACAUCGACAACGUAUUAAAUGAUGGUGCAACCUGUUACCGCUCGAUCUCUUGUUUGUAAUUGAUAAAAAAAUACUGCUGACGCCAAUAUUUAUUUAUUGCAAAUUAGUGUGUUGCAUAAAAUACUGAUAAAAUGACGAUUCCGGUUGUGUUGGUAGACAAAAACAGAAUUGAUUACAAAUUAUACAAGCCGAUUGUUCUUACAACACUCUUGAAUGCAUUGCGUGACCGAAGCACUUGGAAGCAACAAGCUGUUCAUAGAUUAUUAUUUUUCACACAAAGUAAUGCACACUAUCAAGAGGACAUCGACCAAGUUACUAUCGAUAAACUAAACAUCUUUUGCUCAAUUUUUAAACAAAUAUAUCAACUUAUAUCAGUGGAUUGGUAAAUAUUUACGGCUAUUUUCCUACCAUAUAAUUGUCUGUUAUUUAUUUUACUACAUUUCACAAAACAGCAUAUCACCUUUUUAUUUCUAUCGCAAUAAAAAUAUACCACUCUAAAAGACGUUCUAUUCUAUAGAAUUAUUACUAUUUUAUUAUUAAUAUUCAAUAUUUAUGUUCAUGUAUUUUUCAAUUUAUUUUAUUUAAACAUUAAUAAUUUAAAGUGAUAUAAAAGCAAUGGAAAGGUACAGUAAAAAACAGAGUGUACUAAACAUUCACUACCAGAAUGGUGAACAUUGACUGUACGGAAACUCCGUUCGAUUCUUGGACUUCAAAAUGCAACAAACGAAUCAACUGUUCGUUGAUUAAGAAAUUCGAAGAAAGGGGUUCUACACAAUACAACAAAACCGCCUUUCGAAGUGGUCGAAGUGAGGUGAAUGUUAGUGUUGUGUAAGAUUCCGUUCGGUAAGUCCAAGAAAAUCGUGUCGACCUCGUGCACAAGAGAUAUCGCCAGCAACAGUCCAAAGAAUUUUUUACAAAAUAUUUGCACUUGCAAGCGUACAAAGUUCAAUUAACACAGGAACUUAAGCCAACAGACCACGGAAAACGACGGAAAUUCGACAAUUUUUACUUAGACAUUUAAUAGUAAAAUUAAUAAUUUUGUUAUUCUCACAAAACUCUUUGCAAUUUAUUUACUAUUGGCUUCGAUGAAAAUACUCUAUCAAAUUUAAUUUUAAUAAUAUAUAAAAAAUGAUUGUACAAAUAGAGCUAAAAAAUGGCUAUUUUAGAAAAAUUUUCUUAUUA